GACGAGCCACACAAACGUUAUUCGGAAUUACUGGGCUUAAAGGGUGCGUAGGCGGCGCGGAAAGUGGGGUGUGAAAGCCCUCGGCUCAACCGAGGAAUUGCGCUCCAAACUACCGUGCUCGAGGGAGAUAGAGGUUAGCGGAACUUCGGGUGGAGCGGUGAAAUGCGUUGAUAUCCGAAGGAACACCGGUGGCGAAAGCGGCUAACUGGGUCUUCUCUGACGCUGAUGCACGAAAGCCAGGGUAGCAAACGGG
rnacentral:rRNA from 1 species